rnacentral:tRNA from 1 species
GGCCUCGUAGCUCAGCUGGUAGAGCAUGCGCGUACAAAGCGUAGGCGGUGUUCAUGCGUGGGUUCGAAUCCCACCGAGGCUA